rnacentral:rRNA from 1 species
UUGAAUGGCUCAGUGAGGCGUUCGGACUGGCCCAGAGAGGUGGGCAACUACCACUCAGGGCCGGAAAGUUCUCCAAACUCGGUCAUUUAGAGGAAGUAAAAGUCGUAACAAGGUCUCCGUUGGUGAACCAGCGGAGGGAUCAUUA